AGUCGGGCAAAAUGUCCGCUUGCAAUCUCCAGGCUGCCUGAGCUGAAAUCUGCUUUCCUUUGACCGCGGAUGUACCGGCACUGUCGAAAGCAUGAUACUAUAGAGGUCAGGCAAUUUGCCUGGCCUUUUUGCUG
rnacentral:sRNA from 1 species